UACGUAGGGUGCAAGCGUUGUCCGGAAUUAUUGGGCGUAAAGAGCUCGUAGGCGGUCUGUCACGUCGGAUGUGAAAACUCGGGGCUCAACCCCGAGCCUGCAUACGAUACGGGCAGACUUGAGUUCGGCAGGGGAGACUGGAAUUCCUGGUGUAGCGGUGAAAUGCGCAGAUAUCAGGAGGAACACCCGUGGCGAAAGCGGCUCUCUGGGACGGUACUGACGCUGAGACGCGAAAGCGUGGGGAGCAAACAGG
rnacentral:rRNA from 1 species